rnacentral:tRNA from 1 species
GUCCCGUUAGCUCAGUUGGAUAGAGCAACAGCCUUCUAAGCUGUGGGUCGUAGGUUCGAAUCCUACACGGGAUA